ensembl:lncRNA
UGAUAAGCUGGCACCUAUCCGAGAGAUUUGGGAACACUGGGUAGAAAGAGUACCGUUCAUGUACCGUCCUGAUCUCAACAUCACUGUUGAUGAGUGCCUUGUCGGUUUCAGGGGCCGGUGCCCUUUCAAACAAUAUAUGCCAUCAAAACCUGCCAAAUAUGGAAUUAAAAUCUGGGCAGCCUGUGAUGCAAAGACCAGCUACUGUUUCAACAUGCAGGUGUACACUGGAAAACACAGCACGAGAAAAACCUGAGCAAGAGAAUAGUCCUCAAAAUGAUGAAUGACCUUCAAGGGCAUAUUGCCACAUGUGACAAUUUUUUUACGUCUUAUGCUCCUGGCACAGAGCUCCUGUAGAAAAGAAUAAGGAUGGUAGGAAAGGUUCGAAAGAACAAGCCAGAGCUGCCAAGUGCACUGACAAACCCAAGAGGCCGGGACAAAUUUUCAUCUCUGUUUGCCUACACACAGACACACACCAUCAUGUUCUACUGUCUGAAAAAUAAAAAUAAAAACGUCCUUCUCAUGAGCACUGUUCACAAAGAUCAGGAAGUGAGUGAACGAGAAGACAGGAAACCAGAGAUGAUAUUAUAUUACAACAGGAUCAAAAGUGGAGUGGACAGUUUUGACAAGAUUGUUGCGACCUACACCUGUGGAAGGAAAACGACUCGCUGGCCCAUGGCCGUAUUUUUUAACAUGAUUGAUGUCUCGGCCUACAAUGCUUUUGUCAUCUGGAGGGAAAUAAAUCUGACCUGGAGACAGGGGGAUAGCUACAGGAGGAGGCAUUUUCUGGAGGAGCUAGGAAGAGCGCUCGUGUCCCCUUUCAUAAAAACAAGGCAGCACAUUCCUCGCAGUGCAGGAAGUGCAGGAAUCUGAGGAAGCAGUUUCCUCCACGGCUGGUCACUCAGCCAAAAGAAAAAGAUGCCAAUGGUGCUUGCCGAGGGAUGUGAAAACAAGCAUCAUUUGCACAAAGUGCAAUCAUCCAAUUUGCAAGAGACACUCAGUUGUGAUCUGUGACGUGCAACAAACACUAAUUACACUUAGUAUGUAAAUAUGCAGAUAAUAUGUAAAUAUAGUUAGGAUGAUAUUUAAAACACUUAUUUUUUUUUUCUAUUUUCCAUUUACUGUUUUAUAAUUAUUAUAGUUUUGCUGUUAUUUUAGUUUUUUUGUUCAUAAUUGCUGUUCAAUUCAAUUCAAUUCAAGUAUAUUUGUGUAGCUCUUUUUACGAUACAAAUCAUUACAAAGCAACUUUAAAGAAAAUUAAGUUUCUACAAUAUUUAGUAGUAGCUUAUCAGUGGUGACUGUCAGUUCAUGUGCAUACGGCAGAAAUGUUCAGAAAAAUCAAUAAAAGACGUAAACAAACAGACGAUUUACACUAUUAACAGCAAUUAUGCAAUCAAACUUAUAGCAAAAUGUGUUAGUUCUGUAUGUUGUCUCUGGGUUAGCAUCAUCUGAGGUCCUCUGAGGGGUUGGCAUCAUCUCUUCUCAGGUGUUCUGGAUCCAGACUGGAGCUUGUGUAAAUCCUAGUUACCACGGGAUGUAAAUCCAGCAGAAACAGAGAAACAAAUAGAGACAUAAUUAGCAUAGCUGCUGUUCCAGCCAAGUAAAAUUAAUUAGUUUAACCCAAGCUAAAGAAUAAUAAUGCGCAUUUGAUCAGAUAUAACUGCAGUCCAAAAUUAUGAGAUGCAUUAU